GUCGUGAGGCAUGCUGGAGGUAUCAGAAGUGCGAAUGCUGACAUAAGUAACGAUAAAGCGGGUGAAAAGCCCGCUCGCCGGAAGACCAAGGGUUCCUGUCCAACGUUAAUCGGGGCAGGGUGAGUCGACCCCUAAGGCGAGGCCGAAAGGCGUAGUCGAUGGGAAACGGGUUAAUAUUCCCGUACUUGGUGUUACUGCGAAGGGGGGACGGAGAAGGCUAUGUUGGCCGGGCGACGGUUGUCCCGGUUUAAGCGUGUAGGCUGGUUUUCCAGGCAAAUCCGGAAAAUCAAGGCUGAGGCGUGACGACGAGGCACUACGGUGCUGAAGCAACAAAUGCCCUGCUUCCAGGAAAAGCCUCUAAGCAUCAGGUAACACGAAAUCGUACCCCAAACCGACACAGGUGGUCAGGUAGAGAAUACCAAGGCGCUUGAGAGAACUCGGGUGAAGGAACUAGGCAAAAUGGUGCCGUAACUUCGGGAGAAGGCACGCUGAUAUGUAGGUGAAGCGGUUUACCCGUGGAGCUGAAAUCAGUCGAAGAUACCAGCUGGCUGCAACUGUUUAUUAAAAACACAGCACUGUGCAAACACGAAAGUGGACGUAUACGGUGUGACGCCUGCCCGGUGCCGGAAGGUUAAUUGAUGGGGUCAGCGCAAGCGAAGCUCCUGAUCGAAGCCCCGGUAAACGGCGGCCGUAACUAUAACGGUCCUAAGGUAGCGAAAUUCCUUGUCGGGUAAGUUCCGACCUGCACGAAUGGCGUAAUGAUGGCCAGGCUGUCUCCACCCGAGACUCAGUGAAAUUGAACUCGCUGUGAAGAUGCAGUGUACCCGCGGCAAGACGGAAAGACCCCGUGAACCUUUACUAUAGCUUGACACUGAACAUUGAGCCUUGAUGUGUAGGAUAGGUGGGAGGCUUUGAAGUGUGGACGCCAGUCUGCAUGGAGCCGACCUUGAAAUACCACCCUUUAAUGUUUGAUGUUCUAACGUGGACCCGUAAUCCGGGUUGCGGACAGUGUCUGGUGGGUAGUUUGACUGGGGCGGUCUCCUCCUAAAGAGUAACGGAGGAGCACGAAGGUUGGCUAAUCCUGGUCGGACAUCAGGAGGUUAGUGCAAUGGCAUAAGCCAGCUUGACUGCGAGCGUGACGGCGCGAGCAGGUGCGAAAGCAGGUCAUAGUGAUCCGGUGGUUCUGAAUGGAAGGGCCAUCGCUCAACGGAUAAAAGGUACUCCGGGGAUAACAGGCUGAUACCGCCCAAGAGUUCAUAUCGACGGCGGUGUUUGGCACCUCGAUGUCGGCUCAUCACAUCCUGGGGCUGAAGUAGGUCCCAAGGGUAUGGCUGUUCGCCAUUUAAAGUGGUACGCGAGCUGGGUUUAGAACGUCGUGAGACAGUUCGGUCCCUAUCUGCCGUGGGCGCUGGAGAACUGAGGGGGGCUGCUCCUAGUACGAGAGGACCGGAGUGGACGCAUCACUGGUGUUCGGGUUGUCAUGCCAAUGGCACUGCCCGGUAGCUAAAUGCGGAAGAGAUAAGUGCUGAAAGCAUCUAAGCACGAAACUUGCCCCGA
rnacentral:rRNA from 1 species